UUGAUUUGAACCGAUGAAUCCCAAAACCAUAAAUAUUUCCAGAUUCAUGAGCCAUAACGGUUGACCUGGUCAAAUUCUGAGUUUGAUUAGGUUAGUUCUGGUUUGUUUCAUAGAUUGAACCGGUCCAUGAUCCGGUCUCUAUCUUUCACGACCUUCUCCUCAUCGUUUUUUCUUCAGCAGCACAACUUUUCAACCUCAACGACUCCUCUUAAAUGGCAAAAUGGCCG
rnacentral:lncRNA from 1 species